rnacentral:rRNA from 1 species
CCUACGGGUGGCAGCAGUGGGGAAUAUUGGGCAAUGGGCGCAAGCCUGACCCAGCAACGCCGCGUGAAGGAAGAAGGCUUUCGGGUUGUAAACUUCGUGUAAGAGGGAAGAGCAGAAGACGGUACCGCUUGAAUAAGCCAAGGCUAACGACGUGCCAGCAGCCGCGGUAAUACGUAGGGGGGAAGCGAUGCCCGGAUUUACUGGGUGUAAAGGGCGUGAAGCCGGGAAGACCAGUCAGAGGGGAAAUCCCGCGGCUCAACCGCGGAACUGCAUUUGAAACUGUUUUUCUUGAGUACCGGAGAGGUCAUCGGAAUUCCUUUUGUAGCGGUGACAUGCUUAGCUAUCACGUAGAACCCCAGUGGCGCAGGCGGCUUACUGGACGGCAACUGACGGUGUGGCGCGACCGCGUGGGGCUCAAACAGGAUUAGAUACCCCUGUAGUC